UCCCUUAGUAACGGCGAGUGAACAGGGAUUAGCCCAGCACCGAAGCCUGUGGUCAUUUGACCACCAGGCAAUGUGGUGUUCAGGUCUUUUCGCAGAGGCGCUGCUCCACCCUAAGUCCAAUAAUGAGUACGGUGGUACGGACAUGGCCCAUUGAGGGUGAAAGGCCCGUGGGGGUGGAGGUCAGAAUGGACAGUGUCACUCUGGGAGGACCUUGGAGUCGGGUUGUUUGUGAAUGCAGCCCAAAGUGGGUGGUAAACUCCAUCCAAGGCUAAAUACUAACACGAGUCCGAUAGCGAACAAGUACCGUGAGGGAAAGUUGAAAAGUACUCUGAAGAGAGAGUAAACAGUGCGUGAAGCCGUUCAGAGGUAAACGGGUGGAGUUGAACUGUGAGUUUCGAGGGUUCAGCUGGUGAUUAUUGUUGGGCUUGGCCAAACUGAUUGGAUUCUGGGGUCUGUUCAGCUGCAGGUCUUUGCCUUCGGGUGAGGAUGCGCGAUACGUUCGUUGAGCGUUGUGCGCCCCAGGUGUCCCGGGUCGAGUCGCCAGUGCAUUCCCUCGUUACGGUCACCACGACCGGCACUGCUGUCUUUCUGCUAUGGUUAAACCGAUUGUGUAUUGUCCUUCGGGCUUUGUGCGGUCGGGAUGGCAGGUAGCUCGUUGGUUUGCUUGCAGGCCUUCGGGUGUAAUCAGCUGACUAUGGUUUGACUGUGCAGUGUGUCGGAGACGGCGGCUUGUGUGUGCGUGCGUGCCUGUUCUGCUGGCGUGUCUAUGUCAGGUUGCUCAGUUGCUCACGUAGUGGGCCAAGCGGCGACUGUGACGCGUGCGGUGGGCGGUUGCGUGCGUGGCACUUUAUUGGGCCAAUAGUCUGUGGUGUUGCGGUAGACUUUCCACCCGACCCGUCUUGAAACACGGACCAAGGAGAGUAACAUGUGCGCGAGUCAUUGGGCGUAACGAAACCCAAAGGCGCAGUGAAAGUAAAGGUUUGGCUUGUCCAGACUAAGGUGAGAUCCUGUCGUUUCUUACGCGCGGUACUACCAAGCAUCGAGCGGCAGGCGCAUCACCGGCCCGUCCCAUGGCCAUGGCAGUCUUGUACAGUACAGUCGGGGCGGAGCAAGAGCGUACAUGUUGAGACCCGAAAGAUGGUGAACUAUGCUUGUGCAGAUUGAAGCCAGAGGAAACUCUGGUGGAGGAUCGCAGCGAUUCUGACGUGCAAAUCGAUCGUCAGACAUGAGUAUAGGGGCGAAAGACUAAUCGAACCAUCUGGUAGCUGGUUCCCUC
rnacentral:rRNA from 1 species